AAAUUGAAGAGUUUGAUCAUGGCUCAGAUUGAACGCUGGCGGCAGGCCUAACACAUGCAAGUCGAACGGUAACAGGAAGCAGCUUGCUGCUUUGCUGACGAGUGGCGGACGGGUGAGUAAUGUCUGGGAAACUGCCUGAUGGAGGGGGAUAACUACUGGAAACGGUAGCUAAUACCGCAUAACGUCGCAAGACCAAAGAGGGGGACCUUCGGGCCUCUUGCCAUCGGAUGUGCCCAGAUGGGAUUAGCUAGUAGGUGGGGUAACGGCUCACCUAGGCGACGAUCCCUAGCUGGUCUGAGAGGAUGACCAGCCACACUGGAACUGAGACACGGUCCAGACUCCUACGGGAGGCAGCAGUGGGGAAUAUUGCACAAUGGGCGCAAGCCUGAUGCAGCCAUGCCGCGUGUAUGAAGAAGGCCUUCGGGUUGUAAAGUACUUUCAGCGGGGAGGAAGGGAGUAAAGUUAAUACCUUUGCUCAUUGACGUUACCCGCAGAAGAAGCACCGGCUAACUCCGUGCCAGCAGCCGCGGUAAUACGGAGGGUGCAAGCGUUAAUCGGAAUUACUGGGCGUAAAGCGCACGCAGGCGGUUUGUUAAGUCAGAUGUGAAAUCCCCGGGCUCAACCUGGGAACUGCAUCUGAUACUGGCAAGCUUGAGUCUCGUAGAGGGGGGUAGAAUUCCAGGUGUAGCGGUGAAAUGCGUAGAGAUCUGGAGGAAUACCGGUGGCGAAGGCGGCCCCCUGGACGAAGACUGACGCUCAGGUGCGAAAGCGUGGGGAGCAAACAGGAUUAGAUACCCUGGUAGUCCACGCCGUAAACGAUGUCGACUUGGAGGUUGUGCCCUUGAGGCGUGGCUUCCGGAGCUAACGCGUUAAGUCGACCGCCUGGGGAGUACGGCCGCAAGGUUAAAACUCAAAUGAAUUGACGGGGGCCCGCACAAGCGGUGGAGCAUGUGGUUUAAUUCGAUGCAACGCGAAGAACCUUACCUGGUCUUGACAUCCACGGAAGUUUUCAGAGAUGAGAAUGUGCCUUCGGGAACCGUGAGACAGGUGCUGCAUGGCUGUCGUCAGCUCGUGUUGUGAAAUGUUGGGUUAAGUCCCGCAACGAGCGCAACCCUUAUCCUUUGUUGCCAGCGGUCCGGCCGGGAACUCAAAGGAGACUGCCAGUGAUAAACUGGAGGAAGGUGGGGAUGACGUCAAGUCAUCAUGGCCCUUACGACCAGGGCUACACACGUGCUACAAUGGCGCAUACAAAGAGAAGCGACCUCGCGAGAGCAAGCGGACCUCAUAAAGUGCGUCGUAGUCCGGAUUGGAGUCUGCAACUCGACUCCAUGAAGUCGGAAUCGCUAGUAAUCGUGGAUCAGAAUGCCACGGUGAAUACGUUCCCGGGCCUUGUACACACCGCCCGUCACACCAUGGGAGUGGGUUGCAAAAGAAGUAGGUAGCUUAACCUUCGGGAGGGCGCUUACCACUUUGUGAUUCAUGACUGGGGUGAAGUCGUAACAAGGUAACCGUAGGGGAACCUGCGGUUGGAUCACCUCCUUACCUUAAAGAA
rnacentral:rRNA from 2 species